rnacentral:sRNA from 1 species
ACAUGAAUUGCAUAGAGAAAAAAUUUACAAAAAAAAAAAAACAAAAACAAAAACAAAAUAAUGCAAAAAAAUUACACAUGUACAUUCUUCUUUCAUACUUAACCACAUAGUCAAGAUAAAAACAAAAUCCAGGACCACCCCCAAACUAUUCAUCAGUCUGAUACACACGAUGCAAAUCUUUUUAACUAAUAUCUACUUAUUAAUAAAAUAACAACAACAAAAAUAAAGAAUAUUUUUAUUUAAAGAACUUAAGUUUAGAUUCUGUUUUAAUAAUUUUCAAUAAAAUUGAACUUGAAUUCGAAUUUCUAAUUGUGCUUAUAUUGUAAUAAUGGAUUAUAAAAAUGGUCAAAUAAAACACUGAACUGAAAACUGAUAAAA